rfam:Gossypium hirsutum cultivar TM-1 unplaced genomic scaffold scaffold154.1, whole genome shotgun sequence
UAUUAAAACUUUCAUUCAUUUCUACUGUUAAAAACUAGUGUGGCUGACAAAAUACUUAAAUAGUUGCAUAUGACGUGCCAUCUGUACCUCAUUCUAACAUACAGGGGCCUGUUUUUAAUAGUAAAAAUGGAUUGAAAUUUUAACA